rnacentral:rRNA from 1 species
CCUACGGGUGGCAGCAGUGGGGAAUAUUGGACAAUGGGGGGAACCCUGAUCCAGCGACGCCGCGUGAGUGAAGAAGUAUUUCGGUAUGUAAAGCUCUAUCAGCAGGGAAGAAAGGAAUGACGGUACCUGACUAAGAAGCCCCGGCUAACUACGUGCCAGCAGCCGCGGUAAUACGGAGGGGGCAAGCGUUAUCCGGAUUUACUGGGUGUAAAGGGAGCGUAGACGGCGAUGCAAGUCUGAAGUGAAAGGCGGGGGCCCAACCCCCGGACUGGUUUGGAAACUGGAUGGCUGGAGGGCAGGAGAGGUAAGUGGAAUUCCUAGUGUAGCGGUGAAAUGCGUAGAUAUUAGGAGGAACACCAGGGGCGAAGGCGGCUUACUGGACUGUAACUGACGUGGAGGCUCGAAAGCGUGGGGAGCAAACAGGAUUAGAUACCCCGGUAGUC